rnacentral:rRNA from 1 species
AAGCGCUUAUGACCAGACUUGGACUUGGUUGAUCAUCCUGGGUUCUCCCUGGUGCACUCUUCCAGUUCAGGCCAGCAUCAGUUCAUCGCGGGGGAUAAAGGCUUCGGGAAUGUGGCUCCUCCGGGAGUGUUAUAACCCGUUGUGUAAUACCCUGCUUUGGACUGAGGUUCGCGCAUCUGCAAGGAUGCUGGCGUAAUGGUCAUCAGC